rnacentral:rRNA from 1 species
AUACGGAGGAUCCGAGCGUUAUCCGGAUUUAUUGGGUUUAAAGGGUGCGCAGGCGGCCAUUUAAGUCAGCGGUUAAAUCGUGGGGCUCAACCCCAUUCUGCCGUUGAUACUGGGUGGCUUGAGUACAGUUGAGGUAGGCGGACUUUGGUGUGUAGCGGUGAAAUGCAUAGAUAUACCACAGAACGCCGAUUGCGAAGGCAGCUUACUAAGCUGUUACUGACGCUGAGGCACGAAAGCGUGGGGAUCAAACAGGAUUAGAUACCCUGGUAGUCCACGCUGUAAACGAUGAUUACUGGUUGUUAGCGAUAUAUAGCUAGUGACUGAGCGAAAGCAUUAAGUAAUCCACCUGGGGAGUACGCCGGCAACGGUGAAACUCAAAUGAAUUGGCGGGG